rnacentral:lncRNA from 1 species
AGGUUGCUAAAAGAGGUUAGUUUAUGUCCCUAUUGCCUCAAUUUGCUCAUUCUAGCUCAAUUUGAGCCACUUUUUGGAUCUAGGGUUUCACCAUGAGUGAGAGAGAAGAAUAGCUAGCUUUUUGUCUUGAUUUGUUGAUAUGGUUAGAUGGGGUUGUUUAAUAUGGUUGGAUAAUGUCUCUCAACAUGUUUGCUUCUCAAUUUAGCUAGUUUUUACAAGAUUAAACCAAUGGUGUGUUCUUGUAUAUUUAUGU